AGGACGAACGCUGGCGGCGUGCUUAACACAUGCAAGUCGAGCGGAAAGGCCCUUCGGGGUACUCGAGCGGCGAACGGGUGAGUAACACGUGAGCAACCUGCCCUUAGCUUCGGGAUAGCUCCGGGAAACCGGAAUUAAUACCGGAUAUGACUAUGGCCGACAUCAGCCAUGGUGGAAAGUUUUUCGGCUAGGGAUGGACUCGCGGCCUAUCAGCUAGUUGGUGAGGUAACGGCUCACCAAGGCGACGACGGGUAGCCGGCCUGAGAGGGCGACCGGCCACACUGGGACUGAGACACGGCCCAGACUCCUACGGGAGGCAGCAGUGGGAAUAUUGCGCAAUGGGCGAAAGCCUGACGCAGCGACGCCGCGUGGGGAUGAAUGCCUUCGGGUUGUAAACCCCUUUCAGCAGGACGAAGCGAAAGUGACGGUACCUGCAGAAGAAGCGCCGGCUAACUACGUGCCAGCAGCCGC
rnacentral:rRNA from 1 species